rnacentral:tRNA from 1 species
UCAGUUUAUAGUUUAUUAAAAUUUUAAUUUUGGAGAUUAAGGAUGUAUUUUUACUAAGCUG